rnacentral:rRNA from 1 species
CCCUUAGAUGUUCUGGGCUGCACGCGCGCUACACUGAUGCGCUCAACGAGUUUACGAACUUGCCCGGAAGGGUUGGUUAAUCUUUUUAAAACGCAUCGUGAUGGGGAUAGAUUAUUGCAAUUAUUAAUCUUCAACGAGGAAUUCCUAGUAAGCGCGAGUCAUCAGCUCGCACUGAUUACGUCCCUGCCCUUUGUACACACCGCCCGUCGCUCCUACCGAUUGAGUGGUCCGGUGAAAUCUCGGGACGGCGGCUUGGUCGCUUGCGUCCGACUGCUGAAACUUGAUUAAACCAUAUCAUUUAGAGGAAGGUGAAGUCGUAACA